GAACAACCUCUUCAAGUGACGAGGACAGUGUGGUUGUUGCAAAGUUGCCAUCUGGAGACAGUCUUGCUGACACCGUGGUGUGGGACUUUCCAAAUGAACAGAGCACUCCCAGAAUGGACAACAGUUUGCCAGGACCUCUCAGGCACCCACAACCAGCGUCUGAUCGGG